CCUACGGGAGGCUGCAGUGGGGAAUAUUGGGCAAUGGAGGCAACUCUGACCCAGCAACGCCGCGUGAAUGAUGAAGGUCUUCGGAUCGUAAAGUUCUGUGAUGGGGGAUGAACACAAUGACGGUACCCCAAUAGCAAGCCACGGCUAACUACGGGCCAGCAGCCGCGGUAAUACGUAGGUGGCAGGCGUUAUCCGGAUUUAUUGGGGUAAAAGGGUGCGUUGGCGGAUCGUUAAGUCAGUGGUCAAAUUGAGGGGCUAAACCCCUUCCCGCCAUUGAAACUGGCGCUCUUGAGUGGAAGAGAGGUGUGCGGAAUGCGUGGUGUAGCGGUGAAAUGCGUAGAUAUAACGCAGAACCCCGGUGGCGAAGGCAGCAUGCCGGCUUCCGACUGACGCUGAAGCACGAAAGCGUGGGGAUCGAACAGGAUUAGAUACCCCUGUAGUC
rnacentral:rRNA from 1 species